rnacentral:rRNA from 1 species
AACGAACGCUGGCGGCAUGCCUAACACAUGCAAGUCGAACGAGACCUUCGGGUCUAGUGGCGCACGGGUGCGUAACGCGUGGGAACCUGCCCUUAGGUUCGGAAUAACUCCCCGAAAGGGGGGCUAAUACCGGAUAAUGUCUUCGGACCAAAGAUUUAUCGCCUUUGGAUGGGCCCGCGUUGUAUUAGCUAGUUGGUAGGGUAAAAGCCUACCAAGGCGACGAUCCAUAGCUGGUCUGAGAGGAUGAUCAGCCACACUGGGACUGAGACACGGCCCAGACUACUGCGGGAGGCAGCAGUGGGGAAUAUUGGACAAUGGGCGAAAGCCUGAUCCAGCAAUGCCGCGUGAGUGAUGAAGUCGUUAGGGUUGUAAAGCUCUUUUACCCGGGAUGAUAAUGACAGUACCGGGAGAAUAAGCUCCGGCUAACUCCGUG